UCGGACGUGGUGCAUGGCGCACACCCGCUUCGACUGAACGUAAAAAUUCACAAGAAUAUGUAAGCGGGAGGACCGGGUUCGAUUCCCGGCGUCUGAC